CCUUUGCCCAGCGAAGAACUUCAAAACAAAAGCAACCUGCACGCAGACGCUUCCACAAAACUCUCAAAUCCCAGAAAAUCUCCUUUCCUUUCAACUUCCGCGGGCGCGCACGACACGUCUUUAAAGGAUAACUUCCCGACGCGGAGGGGAAUUCUGCUCUCCCACCCCGUGCUCACGGUGAGCACCAUCCUUGCUCGCUUGCUGCUUGACUUUCUGUUUGUUUGGGAAGCGCUCGCUCUUGGCGAGGACAGGAUUUCAUUUAGUUUGAGUGUAUUUUCUACAGCAAAAGAGACUUCUAAAGGCUUUGCCGAGGGAUUCUUUCCAAAGGACACGGACGGCCGGCGCGGUGCGCGUACGCACCCCACGAACUCCUCCAGCGUUGGUGGUUCCUGGCUUAUAAAAACGCCUUCGCUCCGCGGUUCGGCGCGGUACCGGGACGCCGCGUUGAUGGGUAUUUCGGGAUCACAUCCAGCGCAGUCUCCUAUCUCCUCCACUUCGGGGAAGCCGUAGCCUCGCAGGGAGCUGAGCCGCUUCGCACCGCACUCGGAGCGUUUUCACCGAAUGCUUCCCUCCCUGCCUCUCCUCCUCCCUCUCCAAGGAACGUGAAAUAAGUGAGAUGCCUCUUCUCGGGCUCCCCAACGGAGCACUGCUCCAGAGUGGUGAAUUCUACCCCGUUAACUGACUUGUAGAUCCACUUGUCGGCAUUACAGCACCAAAUCCUCACCCCGACAGGCGGACGGAGCAAACUUCCCCAGAGUUGGGGCUCAACCUUCAGCAGUGGGCAUCAAUCGAGCAGGAGGAGAACUUCUGCUGGCAAAGCUGGGGGAAAUAUAACGAUCUUCAGACCGUGCACAGAGCAAAGGGGAGCUGCGUAAAACUGGGGCUGCCCUCCAGAAAACUGCUGUCCCCCCCCCUCGCCACGAUUUGUGCGCUGGAUGAGCUGAAGUGACAAACCGCUCUUCUCUCCGUGCGACUCUCCGUUUUCCACCUUCCUAUUUCUCGCCCGGCUCCUACGCAUUUCAUUUCACCUCCCUCUCCCCUCGGAUGUCUCCAUAGAUCAAUAGACGGAGAGAUAAAGAAGGGCUCCCCCACAGUUCUCCGUCCGCGGGCGCGCAUUUCCCGCACCAGGAGCAGGAACCGGAGCAGCUCUCGUGGUACAUCGCUGCCCCGAAACAGUGCUGGGCGCUUCCCAAAGCCGUCUCUGUUUUAUUCCCCGUGUCACGUACCGACGUAUUUAUUCGAAGCAUUUCCUUUCGGAGCACGGCAGACAACUCCAUGGUCGGAUCCCCGCACCCCCCCGCAGCUCCGGCCCCGUUUGGAGUGAGUUCUGCUCGGAAAAGCCCAACCAGGGCGGCAUUUCGCACACGGCGCAAGGAGACCUUUUCAUUUGCUUUUCCCCCCUUCUUUUUCAAAUUAAUAUCCCAGGACGAAAGUCGCGGUGUAUUUACUUAGCAGACUUCUUUUGCUCUGUGGGAGGUUUAAAUGACAUUAUCUUUUCCGGGAGAGAACUGAAAGUGGGGCUGAACCCUUCAGCGUCAAUAUUUUGCUUUGGCUAUUGGUCUGAUGGCAUUUCCCUGGAUUUUAUUUUUAACAUUUCUCUGAUUAUUUUUUUUUCUUUAUUAUUAUUAUUUUCUGAAGAAAUAAGGUGGGAG
ensembl:lncRNA